GACGAAGGCUUGCGGCUUGCUUAACUCAUGCAAAUUAAACGAUGAAGUGCUGUCCUUUUGGUGGUGUGGAUUAGUGGAGAACGGGCGAGUAAUACGCGGGCAACCUGAUCCUCUGCUUCUGGAUAAGAUUUGGAAACUGGGUCUAAUACCGGAUUGCCUGUCUGAUCUAUGUUUUUGCGGCCAACUAUGUUUUUCUGCUUCUGAUCGGUUCGUCCCCUUAAAUCUUAUUGGUGGGGUCACCAUCUAUAAUAGCGCAGAUGGUUACUUUUUUUUGAGGGU
rnacentral:rRNA from 1 species